rnacentral:rRNA from 1 species
GACGAACGCUGGCGGCGUGCUUAACACAUGCAAGUCGAACGGUAAGGCCCUUCGGGGUACACGAGUGGCGAACGGGUGAGUAACACGUGGGUGAUCUGCCCUGCACUUCGGGAUAAGCCUGGGAAACUGGGUCUAAUACCGGAUAGGACCCUGGGAUGCAUGUCCUGGGGUGGAAAGCUUUUGCGGUGUGGGAUGGGCCCGCGGCCUAUCAGCUUGUUGGUUGGGUGAUGGCCUACCAAGGCGACGACGGGUAGCCGGCCUGAGAGGGUGACCGGCCACACUGGGACUGAGAUACGGCCCAGACUCCUACGGGAGGCAGCAGUGGGGAAUAUUGCACAAUGGGCGCAAGCCUGAUGCAGCGACGCCGCGUGAGGGAUGACGGCCUUCGGGUUGUAAACCUCUUUCAGCACCGACGAAGCGCAAGCGACGGUAGGUGCAGAAGAAGGACCGGCCAACUACGUGCCAGCAGCCGCGGUAA